rnacentral:rRNA from 1 species
AACGAACGCUGGCGGCAUGCCUAACACAUGCAAGUCGAACGAGACCUUCGGGUCUAGUGGCGCACGGGUGCGUAACGCGUGGGAACCUGCCCUUAGGUUCGGAAUAACUCCCCGAAAGGGGUGCUGAUACCGGAUAAUGUCUUCGGACCAAAGAUUUAUCGCCUUUGGAUGGGCCCGCGUUGGAUUAGCUAGUUGGUAGGGUAAAAGCCUACCAAGGCGACGAUCCAUAGCUGGUCUGAGAGGAUGAUCAGCCACACUGGGACUGAGACACGGCCCAGACUCCUACGGGAGGCAGCAGUGGGGAAUAUUGGACAAUGGGCGAAAGCCUGAUCCAGCAAUGCCGCGUGAGUGAUGAAGGCCUUAGGGUUGUAAAGCUCUUUUACCCGGGAUGAUAAUGACAGUGCCGGGAGAAUAAGCUCCGGCUAACUCCGUG